rnacentral:rRNA from 1 species
UACAGAGGAUGCAAGCGUUAUCCGGAAUUAUUGGGCGUAAAGCGUCUGUAGGUGGCUUUUUAAGUCCGCCGUCAAAUCCCAGGGCUCAACUCUGGACAGGCGGUGGAAACUACCAAGCUGGAGUACGGUAGGGGCAGAGGGAAUUUCCGGUGGAGCGGUGAAAUGCGCAGAUAUCAGGAGGAACACCGGUGGCGAAGGCGGGUCUCUGGGCCGUAACUGACGCUGAGGAGCGAAAGCGUGGGGAGCGAACAGG